UCGUAGGCAAUGAUAAAGAGUAGUACUUUUCAUGUAGCAUUUUACAGAGAGUCUGUUGUUUGCUGGGAGCAGAUAAUGUGGUGAGAAGGAAUGGACUUUGGAGCCUUCAAGUUGAACUGAUACACUCACAGUAGGCUUCGACGUCAUUCAAACGUUAUAUUGAAACCCCUUACUAUUUGUAGCUUUGUAGCGAGGGUAAUAAGUGAUUUCUUUUUAGAAAUAAUCAGGGUGGCAACACGGUCCAUUCGUCCCUAUU
rnacentral:ncRNA from 1 species